rnacentral:rRNA from 1 species
UACGUAGGGUGCAAGCGUUGUCCGGAAUUAUUGGGCGUAAAGAGCUCGUAGGCGGUUUGUCGCGUCUGCUGUGAAAACUCGGGGCUUAGCUCCGGGCCUGCAGUGGGUACGGGCAGACUAGAGUGCGGUAGGGGAGACUGGAAUUCCGUGGUGUAGGCGGUGAAAUGCGCAGGAGAAUCGGGAGGAACACCCGUAGCGAAGGCGGACACUCUGGGCCGGUACUGGACGCUGAGGAGCGAAAGCGUGGGGAGCAACAGGG